rnacentral:rRNA from 1 species
GAUAAACGCUGGCGGCGUGCCUUCCUUUUGCGAGUCGAACGAGGUCAAACUUCGGUCUGGUUGAGUGGCGUCCGGGUGCGUGACACGUCGGUGACCUACCCUUUUGUGGGGAAUACCCUGCCGAAAGGUGGGCUAAUACCGCAUACAAUCCCUUCGUCGCAAAAGGGAUGAAAGCUCGCAAGGGCGCUGAUGGAGGGGCCGGCGGCCUAUCAGCUAGUUGGUGGGGUAAAGGCCUACCAAGGCAACGACGGGGAGCCGAUCUGAGAGGAUGAACGGCCACAGUGGGACUGAAAUAUGGUCCACAGCCCUACGGGGUUUAGCAUGGAGGAAUCUUGCGCAACAUCCGACAGGAUGGCGCACCAACGCCGCGUGGGGGAUGAAGCCGUUUGCGGUGUAAACCCCUGUUGCUCGGGAAGAAGUACCGUCGGGGAGAGCCUGACGGGAAGACGGUACCGGGCGAGGAAGCCCCGGCUAACUACGUG